rnacentral:rRNA from 1 species
UACGGAGGGUGCAAGCGUUAGUCGGAAUUACUGGGCGUAAAGGGUGCGUAGGCGGGAAUAUAAGUCAGAUGUGAAAUACUGAAGCUCAACUUCAGCUGUGCAUCUGAAACUGUGUUUCUAGAGGAAGAGCGGAGAAAACGGAAUUCCACGUGUAGCGGUGAAAUGCGUAGAUAUGUGGAAGAACACCAGUGGCGAAGGCGGUUUUCUAGCUUACUCCUGACGCUGAGGCACGAAAGCAAGGGGAGCAAACAGG